rnacentral:rRNA from 1 species
AUACGUAGGGAGCGAGCGUUGUCCGGAAUUACUGGGUGUAAAGGGUGCGUAGGCGGGGCAGCAAGUCAGGUGUGAAAACGGUCGGCUCAACCGAUCGCCUGCACUUGAAACUGCCGCUCUUGAGUGAAGUAGAGGUAGGCGGAAUUCCCGGUGUAGCGGUGAAAUGCGUAGAGAUCGGGAGGAACACCAGUGGCGAAGGCGGCCUACUGGGCUUUAACUGACGCUGAGGCACGAAAGCAUGGGUAGC